rnacentral:snRNA from 1 species
AGCUUUGUGCAGUGGCAGUAUUGUAGCCAAUGAGGUUUAUCCAAGGCAUGAUUAUUGCUAAUUGGAUUGGUAAUAUUCUAUUCUAGGAUGAUCAUGUAAGCCAGCAGAAUUAGUUACAACCUGCCAAAUCAG